UACGUAGGGGGCAAGCGUUGUCCGGAAUCAUUGGGCGUAAAGAGCGUGUAGGCGGCCCGAUAAGUCCGCUGUGAAAGUCCAGGGCUCAACCCUGGGAUGCCGGUGGAUACUGUCGGGCUCGAGUCCGGAAGAGGAGUGUGGAAUUCCUGGUGUAGCGGUGAAAUGCGCAGAUAUCAGGAGGAACACCAGUGGCGAAGGCGGUUGCCUGGAGCUUUGCUGACGCUGAUGCGCGAAAGCGUGGGGAGCGAUCCGG
rnacentral:rRNA from 1 species